rnacentral:lncRNA from 1 species
UCUUUAUAUUUUAUAUAUACAAGACUCCUGUAAGAAAUAUGAUUUACAAAUAGUUUCUCCCAUUCUGUGAGUUGUCUUUUUACUUGAUAGUAUCCUUUAAUAAACAAAAUUUUUUCAUUUACUUAAAUCUAGUUUCUCUCUCUCUCUCUUUUUUUUUGCUUGUGGGAAAGUACCAAAGUUGCUUAUGAUUUUUUUGUUAUGAUUAUACACUAAAGCAAUACACUCUCCUACUGAGAGAAUUACCAGAUAGUAUUACUAUCUGUUGAGAAUAGUAUAUUCCUAACAGAUUUUUUAGAUGUGUAUAUCUAAAAGCAGUAAAGAAGUUACACACAUUUUAUUAACCUGUACUUUUUUCAAUUAAAAGAUACUUAAAUAUAUUUUGUAUAAGUAUUGUUUCACCUUUAAUUUUGAUUAUAAGUAACUUUCAUGUAUUAUUUAGAAAGGUCAGAGGAAAAACGCAACAAAGAACUGUCUAGUAAUCCUUACUUACCUAUUCUAGUUCCAUUGCUCUAAACAUUUACUUUGAUAUAAUCUGUUUGUAUCUCACUUCCAUUUCAUUCACCAAAAAUCUAUUGAGCAUCAACCACAUGUCAGACAAGGUGCCAAACACUGAAAAUAGAAAGAUAAAAAGACACAUUCUCUUUCCCUGUCUAGAGUCUUGCAGGAUACAAAAACAUGAGAGCCGAAAAGGAUCAUGCCACAUAGGAAGUUUGCAUAGGAGAAUUAAGACCAAAGUGUGGUGGGUUACAUCCACACUUUGGUGGAUCCUUUAGUCAAUGGGUUUCAAAAGAGGCCUUUUGAGCAAGGGGAUUCCACGAAUAAACUUAAUUUUUAGAAAUAUAAUUCUGACAGCAAUGUGAGAGUGGUUUGGACUAGAAUGGACAAAAACCAGUCAGUAAAAUCAGUAAAAAUGGGUAUUUUGUCAAUCAGUCUUUCUCAUAUCCUUUUAUUCAGCCCUUAGAAACAUUCUGUAGUGUUUUAAAUAUUGACAUGAGGUGGCUUUUCUUAAAAUUUUAUCAUGGAAAGCUCCAAACAUAAAAACUCUUUGACUAGAAAAUAAACUCUAUGUAUACGCACAACACAGAUUCAACUUUUAUCAACACACAGCCGAUCUCAUUUUAUCUAUGUCCUCUGCCCACAUCUCCCUUUGUAGAUAUUUUCAAGCAUAUCUCAGACGCCAUACCAUUUCGUCUAUAAAUAUUUUAUUAUGUGGCUCCAACGGAUAAGAACUCUUUUUAAAAUAUAAACUCAAGCAGUUCCUGUCGUGGCUCAGUGGUUAAUGAAUUCAACUAGGAACCAUGAGGUUGCGGGUUCCAUCCCUGGCCCCGCUCAGUGGGUUAAGGAUCUGGUGUUGCUGUGAGCUGUGAUGUAGGUCGCAGAUGUGGCUCGGAUCCCACGUUGCUGUGGCUCUGGCGUAGGCCGGUGGCUACAGCUCCGAUUAGACUUCUAGCCUGGGAACCUCCAUGUGCUGCAGGAGCAGCCCUAGAAAAGGCAAAAAGACAAAUAUAUAUAAACUCAAUAUGAUUAUCCUACCUAAAUAAAGUUAAUAAUAAUUUCUUAAUAGUUUGAGGAUUUUAAAACUCAAAAAUUGAUAUAACUAUUCACAUAUAAAUUCUAUCAUAUUUCCUAUAGAGAAUAUUUUUUCUUUGAUACCUUUGGUAGGGGAUGGAGGUAUGACCAAGUUUCCUAAAAACUAAAAUGAUGCUUCUUAAAACAUACAUCAAAUAUAUAGCUCCUAGAGCUACAUUUGGUUAUGAGUUCUUCUACUACAUGUAUCUAGCAGGGAAGUUUCUACUUUGUUAUACAUUUAUAGUUUGAAAAUAAUGUGUAUAGAUUUUUCUUUACUCAAUACUAAUUCCUCACAUUUAUUUAGUACCCUGAAUUUUCCAAAGAGCUUUCAUGCCUGUUAUCUAGUGAACCCUAAUAGCUCUGCUCUGCAAAGUUGUUAUCUAAUGUUUACAGUUGUUACCCAUUUUACUUUGUUGUGGCUUUCAGACUUAAAUUGAAAUAAUAAUAUAUAAAAAAUUCUUUACUUGCGAGCCAAGAAAGACUUUGUAGUCAGACCCAUAUAGGUGAUGAAAGGGAAUUACUCUGGGUAACAGCUUAUCAGCUGUUAUAAUUUAAUUUUCCAUAUUAUGGGAAUAUUUGGUACUAAUGCACACACAUAAACACACACACACAAACAGUAUGGUGAAAUCCAUGGUUUUACUCAAUAUUUUUAAUGGGCUCAAAACCCAUGCACAAAUUUCCUGAAAGCCUCUUGGAAAGGCUCAUAGUAAGAUUAAGAAAUGCUGUAACACUUGAAUUAGGACAGGGUUUAGGACUGAAGCAUACUGAUAAAUCACCCUUAAUUGGUGCUCCAUUUUUUUAAAAUCAUUUCUUCAAUUUUCGUUAACAUUCCCAGACAUACUAGACAUAGAAAGAUUAUCUUCAAAACAUUCUGUAGUAGAAGAGCUUGGUGACUGUUACUCAGUGGUAAUACAAAUGUCAUUUUUAUUAUAGAUUCUUGCUCUUUAUCCAUAAAACAUAGAAAAUUCAAAUGCUCUUUAAAUAGUCCCACUAAAUAUAAUUUAUCUAAUGUAAGUGCUAUUUGAAAUACUUUUGUAUUCCCAUAUGCUUUUCUCAAACAGAUAGUGAAAAUCUGCCCCAUGAUUAGAAAGGGAGAUUGAAUGUGGGCCCUGGAGCAGGAUGAACCUGGAUUUACAAACUGCUGGGUUUGGAUAAGCUGCAUAGUGCCUGUGAUUCUGGUUCCUCCAGUGUUGUAUUGGAGUCUAUUAAACUGGCUGCCAAGGUCUAAUUGCUGUAUGUAAGAAUUUUUCAAGCCAGUGUUUAAACCGUUGGCUGCUUGAAAUCAGCUAUAGAGGGAGUAUUUAUACCACAGAAACUGGCGAACUCUUUCAGUCCGUGUUCCCUCCCUAAAUUAGGUUCCUAGACCCAAUUCUAACUCUGUGUGUGUGUGUGUGUGUGUGUGUUGGGGGAGACAGUGUGUCAUUUCCCUCACAUCAGUAAGCAAGCUUGGGUCAUCGGUUGGGUGUCCUACAUUUCAACUUGAUUCUGAUACUAUCUACCGGAGAUAGCAUCAGAUUCCUCAGGUUUAGUCCUAUGAGACUGCCUGCCCCCCACUUCUUAUUGACUGGCUUCAUCAGGGGUUCCCAAGACUCCCUACUCGGGUUUGAUUAAUUUGUUAGAGUGGCUCACAAAACCCACUUACUUGCUGGAUUACUUAUAUUACUUACUGGAUAUCCAGUUUAUUAUACAGGCUGUAAUUUAGGAACAGUGGGAUGGAAUUGAUGCCUAGGGCAAGGUAUGUGGGGAGGGGUGUAGAACUCCCGUACCAGGAAGCACAUCAUUCUCUCCAUAUCGCCAUGUGUCCACUGUCUUGGAAGCUCGCUGGACCCACUCUUUUCAGCUUUUUAUGGAGACUUCAUUACAGAGCUAUUGUUAAUUAAAUCAUUGGCCAUUGUGAUAGAUUCAACUUCCAGGCCCUCUCCCUUCCCCAGAGGUCAGGGGGAUGGGACUGAGGGUUCCAAGGCUCUCUCAUCAAGUGGCUGGUUCCUCUGCUGACCAGCCUUCAUCCCUAGGUGAUCUAGGGGCAUUCCUAAGGCCGUCUCAUUAACGUAACAAAAGAUACCUUUAUCACUCUCAGCACUUAAGAAAUUCCCAGGUUUUUAGGAGCUCUGCUAGAAACAAGGAUCAACACCAAAUAUGUAUUUUAUAUAUGUAUGUCAUAUUCCAAAUCAAACUAUCACACUCCCAUCCCCCAGAAUUUGUUUGCUAGCAUACCUCUUACUCCUAGGUAGGUUUAAGGAUGAAAUGAAUCAAUUUAUGUCAGUAUUUUGCAUUAUGCUCCCCAUACAGAAAGUAUUCCAGAAAGGCUGACAGUUAUUAUUAUUAUUUUUAUCAUCAUCAUAAUCAUUCCAUUAAAAACAAGUGCAGCAACCUCUCAAUUGUUUACUUAUCAAAUCAAUCAAUCAGCUAUGUUCUGUGUUUUGUCUUUCGCCCCAAUCUGACAACUUUACUAGUGGCACACUAGGGACUAGUCUCAGACACAGAGAAAAAAGCAGUGAAAACCUAAUCAACUCAUUGAAGUGCUUAUUAGCAUCUUCAUCCUGACAAAAUAUUUGAUGAGAGAGAAAAAAAAAGGAUGAAAGUUAUGAAAACAGGGAAUUAUAUCUAAAUUCAAAACAUUCACCUCCACUUUUGUCUUCCUUGAGACAGCUUAUUAAAUUUCACUAUUAAGUAGCAUUGAACAAUUUUUAACACUUGGUCAAAAAAUCUGAUAAUUCUGGAUUUCUGUAACAAAUCAUAGAAUUCUUGAUCCAAAGUAUCUUAAGCUAAAGAGUGAAUUAUUGGCUCCAAAAGUAAAAAUCCAGGAAUAGGUCUGUUUUCAAACAUGGCUCACGGCAGGGUUCUUACCAGUUCAUAAUGCUGGAUUUCUAUGCUUUCUACUGUGUCAGCCCCCCUCCCAGUAUCCAUUGGAAAGGUCUUUCCAAAAUCAUAUUCACCAGGAAAGAGAAAACUGCUUUUCUUAUAGUCCCUGUGAAACUCCUGAAGUUCACUCAGAACUGUCACAUUCCUGACUCUAGUUUAAGAGCCCGAACAGACUGUACCCAAUAGGGUGGAGAUAAUUCACCCUCCAGUUAAACUGGGGUAUUAUUACUCUAGGAAGAUGAGGUGGAGGGGAAAAAAGGUUGGGCAACCAAAAAAAAAUUGUCCACUGUAUGUCAUUGUCACUAUAGUUGAACCAAUAUCAACAGCUCAUAUCCAUAAUAAGUACACUGCUUGACAAUAUCCGUCUCAGGCUGGGUUUCAGUCUUGCAUACUUCUGAUGCUAUUAAAGAUCUUAGUUAUAAAGAUGAAUGGAGAUAGUAUCUCUGUAGGGAACAGAUUUUGAGAAACCCAAGUAAGAGCGUUUAAAAGCCAAUGCUAGCAAAAAUUUUUAUAACACUACCUGUUAGAUUUCAAAUGAACAGUUCAGAUAAUAGAGGAAUCUUCCUAAUAUGCUCUUAGUGCCUUCCUUGUUAACUAAGAACCAGAGUCCCUCGAUUCUGAGAGGGCUUGACAGCAGUAACAUAGUGAAAAUUGAGGGAGAUAAAAACUUUGGGUGUUCUGUAAUGGAAAAAGCCGUGGGCAUGCAGAAAUUCCACAGAGUGUUUGGCUGUCAAUUAGUUUGAGAAUUUCAUUCUAGGAAAGUAAGUUGUAACUCUCGUGUUAUGGAGAAGUUUAAAUAUUUAUACCAAGGGGUGAAAAAAAGAAAAGAAAGAAAGAAAAGCACAAAACCCUCUACCCCCAGAGCACCCACCACUGACAGGUUACAUAAUUCUGAGAUCCAAGGUAAUAUAUGGGUCUCUGCAUCAUGGUCUCUGCUGGGAAGUUGAUGUUUCUGUUCCUCUUGGCUGCAAGUUUGCUCAGCUUGCGCCUGAUGUCAUCCUGAUUCCUAACUCUUCCUUGAAGCCACAGGCUAUAAUGAAUGAGUCACGGAGGUUAACAGGCAGCCCUUUCUGGUUUAUAUCGUAUGCACAUCCUGUAAUAGUCCUGGAGUGGCAUUCCAUGAUUCAUAUCCUAGCCUGGUGUGCCCUAACCAAAUGCAUCUUCUGGCGAUGAACAUUAAGAGCCCCACAGUGCACAUUAGUAUGGAGCAAUUUAAGUAAACCAUUUUUUUCCUACCCUCUGAGAACUUUCUUAUGGUGUCCUACUCAAAUAUGAUUUGUUUUUAAUCAUUGUGAUGCUCAGCUUUACCUUCAUCAUUAAAUAUGAUGUAAUAAUCUUGGGACUGUGCCAAGGAAACACCAACUAUAAGGAGAGUUUCUUUGACCCCAGAAAGGCACAUCUGGAAGCAUUUUGGAGUGUGGGCAUAUUUCCCAAAGAUUUUGAGAUUGGAUUGCUCUUGGUGUGACCCUGAAAAAAUAUAUCAGGUCUUUGGUAAUUGAACAAAACUGUGUCCCAGCCCGGGCUUUGUAAACAGUGUUAUGUAAUAUUCAUCUUGGAAUACACAGGAUGUUAAUGAGGUAUUACUAUGAAAUAAUCUUUUACUAAAAAAAUGCAUGCCUAGCAUCAAAUAGUGGAGCUCAUUACCACUUUCUUUUCUCCUAAGAAAGAAUGAUACCCAAAGAUUUCUGGAUCUUAGAAAGAAAGGAAUUCCUAUUAUUUGCAAAAGCAGCAUUAGGACAGUAUGGCUACAGCACCAAAGGACAAGUGUCACUUAAAAUGUGGCAAAAUUAAAAAGAGGCAUUGCCAGAAAAAAAAUGGAAGUGCUCAUGAUUGCUAAGCCCUAUAAGUAAUGUAAACAUAUCUGGCAUCUGUCCCCAUUUUUUUCCUGGGCCCUUUUAAAUGAAAGAGUCGUAAUUCAUUCUUAAUCACCCACUAGGUGUUAGGUACCCUGUGGCUGGUAGCCAUCAAAAUUAAUUGCAGGUGCCUCUGCGGGGCUUCAGUAUAAGGCAAUCAUGAUCAUGAUGAAUUCCUAACACGCUCUGCCGACUUAGGGUAAUUAACUCUGGGUCCCUCCCCUUGUUCUGAAGUGCGUCUAGUUCUCAGUGGAUUUCUGAAGCUACAUUUUGCCUUUUUUGAGAGAAA